AAUAAAUACAUAAAAUAAAUAAAUACAUAAAUAAAAUAGAUAUGUAUUUAUGCAAACCAUAGAAAAAUGUUUGGCAACCAUCGCAAGAUACCUGACAAUGUGAAAUAGUUUUAUUACAACUGGCCUGACCUUCAAAGGCCUUCACAGCUCCUGCCUUCAUGUUACCGUCUACUAUGUUCCUCGUGCACCUUCCACUCAGCACAAACAGGCUGCACUGCCUCCGAAACACAUCACUGGAACCCUGCCUCUGCUCCUUUGUCCAUCUGAAUCACCCUCUCCACAUUUCUGACCCUGUAAUCCUGAUCUCACUUCAUGAGGCAGUUCGCUUCUCUUUUGCAUUUAGCUUUCCCCGGGGUACACUGUCAAUAGCCUACUGUCUGAUGUCAUCAGUCAGCACUUCAUCAGAGGCAAUUAUGUCCACAGAGCUUUUGGCUAAUUACUGUCACUCCUCUUUACAUGUGUGCAUAUGCAUAUCAUCUUUCCCUAAUGAGACUGGAAAUCAUGAUUCAUUCCCUGGAGCAGUGGUUUCCAUAAGUGACCAACCCACAGACCAGUGCAAACUGGCUGCAAAAGAGCUUCCUCUGAGGAACUUAUUAGAAUGCAGAUUCUUUGACUGCAUGGGAGAGGAGGAUCUCAUAAAUCUGGGUGUAAUAGGCACAGAACGUUAGGUGUAAUAUGGGCGGGACUCUGGACUCAGCAUAUCCAACAAGCUGCUGGCUGAUUCCGAUGAUGCCGAUGAAUUGCCAGGUUGGGAACUGCUGCCCCCAGAGAACCUAGCAGAGAGCUCUGUACGUGGUAGGUGCUCACUCCCCUAUUGUUUGGGUGUAUGCCUCCUGAUAAUGAACUUGAUCGUAACAUUAUUGUUGCAUUAUGCCUGUAUUGUUUCCUUAGGUGAAGGAAGAAUGCUUUUGAGUACCUAAUAGGUGGCAAGCUCUGUGCCUACUUACAUACAUGAACUAUUCCUUUUAAUAACCUUUGGAAAUAAAGUGGCAUUUCCAUUGGGCAUUAGAAAUCUGAAGACUUUCGUUUACAGCUGUUGCAACAGCAGAACUAGAAUUCGACCUCCGACAUUUCUGCUCACCAGAGGGCAUGAACUGCUGGUUUGUACCUGGCUUGCAGAUACCUUCUUUGGGCAGCACAAUGUUCAAAAUUAAAAAAACUACCAACACUUCUAAACUGGAUACUUUGUAUCAAUAUCUGGGUUUCUGGCUUCUCUUCAUGGGAAACAAACAAACAAAAAAAAAGGUUUGGUGAACAAUGGGGCCCACAUUCCUGCAGGGCAACAGUCACAUGGAGACUUUAGAUGGGCACGUGCCCAGAACACACUAGAGUCCCCAUCGCUCCCCAUUCUCUUACAUUCUGUUCCCAACUAGGUUCUUAUAGGCCUGGGUUUGUGCCUGUUGCACACUUAUCUACUCUCUUGCUUCCCACUGGUCAGGAAGUCUGGCAAACUUAAAAGGCCUCUUUUUGUUGCUCUCUCCUGUAUGGAUCUCUCAUCAUAGAGGUGUGUGCAUUUCUGACUUUGUGAUUUCAAUACUAAGGAAGCUGUCGGCACAUUAUCAAGGAAAACGGGGAUCGCUGCUCCCCAACGUACACAUUCUGGUGUGCCCCAGUAAAAUUCUAUAUUCAGCCUCCAAACUAGCUGGGAAAAAUGUGGCAAAUCAUCUACUUGCUCCAAUUCAAUAGUGUUUAGAAGUAAGAAGUCACUGUGAGCAAUGCCACCAAGUGGUGGAGAGACUCCAUGCAGAAUCGCCACCUU
rnacentral:lncRNA from 1 species